ACUCUACACGAUCUUUUCUCAUCAGCGGUUUUGAAUAAAGACAUGAAAUAAACUGCUCCCAGACACCUGCUUUUGUGGUUGUGUUAUGGUGUGAUGCCAUCAUAUGAUCAUUAGCUAAUGCAACUGUUUCAAUUUUAUUGGUUUAUUCUAAUUAAACCAGACAAGCAAAACUUCUCCUAAAAUACAGCAUUAAAGAAAAUUGUUCAAAUCAAAGGAUUUGUGUGGGAAUCAGGUUUAAAGGUAGAGCAUAAUAAUGCAACUGCAUUAAGACACUCCUCUUUUCUACAUCACAUUUGCAUUGUACUUAAAAGAGACACAGAUUUGUGAGAAAGCACUACAGCAGACACCCUGUCACCCGUUAACUUAUACUGCCUUUUUCCAUGCCUUUGCAGUAACUCAUUGCUCCAUGUCAGAUUUCUACAUGAUGAUUAGACUUCUCUUUUGCCAUUUCCUCACAGCAGGUAUUUCUCUGGGGGUUCAGGUCCAUCAGUCUCCCUCUGCUGUCCUCAGGAAGGCUGGUGGUGAAGUGCAGCUUGUCUGUACUCAUGGAAAACCUGACUACACAGUGAUGCUGUGGUACCAGCAAUCACCUGGCGACAAAGCCCUGAAACUCAUUGGAUAUGUAGAAUAUAGCCGAAUAAGCCAUGAAGAGUUAUAUAAAAAUCAUUUUAAUAUCACUGGAGAUUUAAGUGGAAGUACAGCAAAGAAUGGUUCUCUGUUUAUAGUGGAUCUAAGAGAGUCUGAGCACAGUGCAGUGUACUACUGUGCAGCUCGAUAUGCACGUUGAGACAGAUCUCCUUUCAACUACACAAAAACUAAAACACCAUCCUUUAUCAGCUGUGGUUUUGGGUAGUCUCAGAAAGUCCUGCACCAGCCAGCUGCAGUCAAGGUCUCUGUCAUGUGAUUUAUACCUCACUUCCUCUUGUCUUUGCUGAGUUUUUUUCAUAUUCAGUCCAGUCAUAUAGACAGAGUAGUUGCCUCCUCACCUUCAUCACAAUUAUCCUUUUAUGAAGAAUUAAAUCUGCCAUCACCAAAAAUGAUUUGUUUUCUACUUUCUUGUCAUCUUAUAGGUUUUUCUCUGGGGGUUCAGGUCCAUCAGUCCCCCACUGCUGUCAUCAAAAAGGCUGGUGAUGAAGUGCAGCUUUUCUGCACACAUGGACAAAGUAACUACAGAGUCAUGCUGUGGUACCAGCAGUCACCAUGGGACAAGGCUCUGAAACUUGUUGGAUUUGGAUAUACGGAGUUCAAAAAUGACAGCGUGGAAGUGUCAUUUAGAAAACAUUUCAAAUUAGCAGGGGAUUUGAAUUCAGACAAAAAAAAUGGUUCACUUUCCAUAAGCAAUCUAAAAGCACUUGAACACACUGCAACAUACUUCUGUGGUGCCAGGGAGGCACAGUGGAUCAAACAUCCAUCUGCUCUUGACAAAAACCUCUUAACACCUCCACUCUCAGGGCUCUACAGUGCGACCAAUAUAGUUGCAGAUACCCUAAAGAUAGAAGCAUGCA